rnacentral:lncRNA from 1 species
GGAAAAGCAAACCAAUGGACCGAACAGAGAUCUGUUAAAAAUAGCCAUCAUUUGCAGUUGGUGAGGGCCAUAAUUCACAUAGAGAAGAGUGAGAAGGCAUCUUGCAGGCCCUUCCCUUUCCAGGACUCGCUCCUCAAAUCCAAAGGGCUGGAGGGCAACUGGCUCAUUCCUAUUCCAAUCAUUCAAUGAGCAGGAACUGAGAAUCUGCCAGGAGCCUGCAGGUGCUGAGUGCUGAGGAUGCAAAGAUUCCCAUGAGAAUGUCGCAUUAGAUUUAGUUGUUACGUCUUUUUAAGCUUCUCUACACUAGAACAGUUCCACAGGCUCUCCUUGUUUUUG